AGUUGAACUCAAUGUCACGAGUUCUUAUAGUUGGUGCAGUUUAUGCGCUUGUCUUCUGCGAAGAGAAAUGCCAAACAAAGUUAUUGUUGUCUGGGACAAAUCGCGAGGAGCAGUUUCUAUGAAGAGCUGCUGGCCCAUGGUGUUCUGAAGCCACUGUUGUCCUCAGUGGAAGGCGAGGUGAUGGAUGGAGGCCAUAAAAACUAUGUCACUCCCAACAGGAGUGUCGUCCAUCGUCAACCAUUUCCUCAAGCAGUCAGUGAGGUGCAGAGGUGUUAUUUAACCACCAAGUCACCCACAUCUACCAGAAUGGCGCGAGCUGGAAGGUGUGUCGGAAGGGCACGGCCACGGAGCAGUUUGACGCUGUGGUCCUCACCGAGGCCAUACCGUAGAUCCUACAGCUGCAAGGAGACGUGGGCUCCUUGCUAGAGGAGAUUCCGCGGCAGCAGCUUGGGGCGGUAAGCUACUCGUCGGCGCUAUGCGCUGGGCCUCUUCUACAAAGGCCCAGGCUCACUUCGACGUCCCCUGGGCCGCCAAGUACGUCUCUAAUAAUCCCUGCAUUCGCUUCAUCGCCAUCGACGAUCAAAAGCGCAAUUUAGAAUUCCCAGAGUGCUGUCCCUCCAUGGUGGUCCACAUCAGUGUUCCAUUUGGUGUCAAACACCUGGAGGAGGCCAAGGAGCAGGUGGAGCCUAUCAUCCUGGUGAAGCUGAACAAGCUGCUGCCUGGCUUGCCACAGCCUGACAGCAUCAAGUGCCAGAAGUGGAGAUACUCACAGGUGAGAGGGGUUACUCAAACAGGAGUUUUACUGUAUUACUUAAUCGAGUGAGGAGAGAUAAUACCAGGAGUUUUACUGUAUUACUUCAUCGAGUGAGGAGAGAUAAGACCAGGAUUUUUACUGUAUUACUUCAUCGAGUGAGGAGAGAAAAUACCAGAAGUUUUAUUUCAUUCACUCAUUGAGAGAAGAGGAAGAGUUUUUUUCCUUCUUCAUAGAAACUUUAAGAGAUAAUAACUGUUGCUACUUCACAGUCCUGUCAAGAUACAUGGAAAGAAGGUCAGAGGGUUAGACUCGGUUCAGUAAAACUCAUCGUCUGUGUAAAGAACGUUGAUGAGUGACAUGCUGUGUCGAUCAUGAUCACGCCGUACUAAACUUAAACGUAUUGCGUUUUUCUGCUUCUGUAUACCACAUGAGUGUAGUGUACGGAGACUGCUUGGACAUGGUGUUCCUUUUUCAAGUAGCUCCAAUGUCCUGUUUACUGUGAUGUUUCCCUGGAUCUCUAUGUUCCUCUUGGACCAGAUACUGUGACUUUAUUUACAUUAUUUAUGUCCAGCAAGAAUAUGUCCUCCAAGGGCUCUCGUAGCUGUUCAUCACUCUUCUGUAGUGAUUGAAGUACACACUCGGCGAUUGCAUCACUCAAUCUCUUAAAUGUGCUCUCUCUCUCUCUCUCUCUCUCUCUCUCUCUCUCUCUCUCUCUCUCUCUCUUUCUCUUUCGCUCCAACACACACCCACACACGUUCUGCUAAGCGAGGCUGGGCUGGGCUGGGGGUCAGAGGCCACAGAACAUCUGUGUGGGAGGCCACAUCACUGGGAGUGCCAGAGCAUGGGCCAAGGCCCACUGGAACUGGAUGGGCCAUGAUAGAACACACACACACACACACACACGCACAUUUGUACUGUAACACACACACACACACAAGCACAUUUGUAUUAUAAUAUAGACACACACACAUUCAUAAUGGAAUGCGCAGACACACACACAUAUGCACACUCACUCAUACUGUACACACAUCAGCUCCCUGUCAAAUGCACUAGCAGUCAUUCUAACAAAGACCAUUGUGACAGAGAGACACAAAUGCAUGAUUGAACAGUUAUAUCAGUUUAACUGUUGCUAAAAUAUAGGAUAUAGGUUGCGUGCUCUUUAGAUUACUUCUCUUUUGAAGUAGACGUAUUCUCAGCUGCCGAAUUCUCUUGCUUUCCUUGCGAUAAAACGUGUUUAUAUUGGGGCGUUUAUCUUAAGGUCCCAAACCCUCCUCCUUGGCGCUCCGUGGUCUUUGCCUUGGGAAGUCAGCCUCACACUGUAUAUGGAGACGGCAGGGCCCAGGGCCACUUUAUCAACGUACCACUAGAGUGAACCAAACAAUUUGUCCAUGGCCACAUUUCAACAAAAAUGCUUAUCAUCAAUUGAUUUACAUGGUGAUGACCUUUUCAAGGAUGCAUGAGCAAACAAACAAUUAUGUUUUUGGGGAGGAGUGGGGAUGGAGGGAGGUGGAGGGUGGGGGUUAUGAUAGCAGCACAUAGUAGCCUAUAACGAUGCCUAUUAAAAGCCCCAGCAGGAAAUGGAUACUAUUUCCUUACCCUUAGCGGUGCAGGGCAGCGUACCUCGAUGUUUAUCCAUCUGCUGCCUCUCCUCUUAGUACAGGCCUCUGACAGAAGCUACGACACGUACACCGGCUUGUGUGUUUACACUCCCAAGUCAUUAACACACUUAACUCUCAGCAUUCAGGAUUUAAACAUGAGGAAGACAGUUGGCCGCAAGGCUGAUUUGAUAUCUGCCUGUCUGGCCAAAGGCGGUGCAUUUUAUGGCUUGAUCUGUGGUAUCCCAUCACGUUCAUCCAGAGGUAACUUGAGCACAGACAGUUUUUUGGAUUGCAGGAUAACUGUAGCACAAACAAAUCAUUGUCUCAAUACACAUUCUACUGUAGCUGUGGAAAUAGAUACAUCUGUGGCCAUGACAACAAUUUGGCUUCAGUAGUGUAGUAUACAAUCAAUGCGUCAUUUAUCAGUGAAGGGCAGUGAGCUGCCGAUUCCACUCAAUAGCUCAGCAGCAGCAUGAAGGUCUAAUCAGCCCUCUCUAUUGGGUCUAGUGACCGUUAGGGCCACUCCACCUGCUGCUCUAUGGCCCUUCUCCCUCUCUCUCUCUCUACCCCCCUCUCUUUCUCUACCCCACCACCCCCUCUCUCUUUCUCAACUAAUUAGGUGACGAGCUCGGUGGCCGACUGCCCAGGGCAGAUGACGCCGCUGUCCCAGCCUCUGUUGGUGUGUGGGGGCGACGGCUUCACACAUUCCAAUUUCGACGGCUGUAUCGAGUCUGCCCUGAAGAGAGCCCAAGCUGGGAUAACGAGAGAGGCGGUGCACAGCCCCAUGGGAGGUGACGUCACCAACAGCAGUCGGCUCUCUCUUUCUGUGGCAGGUCAGCUAAGGUCAGUGACAGUGUGAUCGCCUCAAGUGUGACCAGGGUCACCCGGAAGAGGACACUGGAAUCAGCCGUUUGACCAGGAAGUUCAGAGUCUGAAGGAACCAAUCAGAAGAGACCGAGGGUCUGAUCAUCGACUGAACUGAUGUCAACUGAUCUCAACUAACCUUUCAUUGCAUGCUGUUGCAUUUUUUUUUUUUUUGCAUUAGCUUUUGUGGCAUUUGAAUGUGUUAUAAAAAUACAUUAUAUCUAUCGCAUUAUCCACGUGUUCCCUAUAGGCUUUUUAGUAAGUAGCGAAUUAUCGUUAAUUCAAAAUUGAAUUUGAAUACCGUAGCUAAAUAGAAAUCCAUAUGACUGACACCAAACACAAGAGAGUAGAAUAUCACAAAAAAUUCAAAAACAUCUCUGCUCUUGACUGAGAGGUUCCCAAACCAGAAGGCAAUGUUGAAUGUAAGAACACUUUCAAUCUAGAAGUUGACUAGAGGGGUGAACCUAUGCCAGGGGUUAGGUAUCACCUCUACCUACUCCCAAAAUAGCCAUAUUGUACUCAUAGACCUCCAUGAACACAAUACACACACACCACACACGCUGAUAACAAUAGUCUUCAAUUAUUACACAGUUAUACUGUAUUUGUUACAGUCUCGGCUGUUGUAGUACUGUAUUUCACUGUUUUUUUUAUAUUUUUUUAUAUUUUUGUGGCAUAUCUUUGGGACUGCCAAUGUUCUUUCUGCCCAGUCUCAGAUCAACAUAGUGUUAUAGUUUACUGUAGUGUUAUAGUGUAUUGCAGUACUAUAGUGUUCUGUAGAAUUGUAGUCGGCUGUAGUGUUAUAGUGUACUGUAGUCUUGUAGUGUACUGUAGUCUUAUACUGUACUGUAGUAUUAUAGUGUACUAUUGUGU